CCCUGUGUGAUGCAGACAGUUAACAUGCUCAGCUGCUAACUGCAAGGCCGGUGGUUCAAGUCCACCCAAAGUGU
rnacentral:tRNA from 1 species